ACUGAAACAUCUAAGUAACUGAAGGAAGAGAAAGAAAUUAGAUGCCUGAAUUUGCGGAGAGAGAACGCGGAUUAGCCAAAACCAAUAAAGUUUUCUUGAUUGGGGUUGCGGACAUAUCAUAACGAAGAGGUAUCGUAAUUGAAGAGGUUUGGAAAGACCCACCAACGAAGGUAAUAGUCCUGUAUGUUAAAGGAGAAGACUUUAGAUAUGAUCCAGAGUACCACGGGACACGUGAAACCCUGUGGGAAGCAGGAGGGACCACCCUCCAAGGCUAAAUACUACCUAGUGACCGAUAGCGUAUAGUACCGGGAGGGAAAGGUGAAACGAACCCCGGGAGGGGAGUGAAAUCGAACCUGAAACACGGCCCUUCCCAGCUGGGGAACCACAUUUCUUGUGUGAACGCGUACUUUUUGGAGAACGGGCCAACGAGUUACGG
rnacentral:rRNA from 1 species